rnacentral:rRNA from 1 species
UACGGAGGGUGCAAGCGUUAUCCGGAUUCACUGGGUUUAAAGGGUGCGUAGGCGGGUUGGUAAGUCCGUGGUGAAAUCUCCGAGCUUAACUCGGAAACUGCCGUGGAUACUAUCAAUCUUGAAUAUCGUGGAGGUAAGCGGAAUAUGUCAUGUAGCGGUGAAAUGCUUAGAUAUGACAUAGAACACCAAUUGCGUAGGCAGCUUACUACACGAUCAGUGACGCUGAGGCACGAAAGCGUGGGGAUCAAACAGG